rnacentral:rRNA from 1 species
GUUGUUGGUGGAGUAAAUCCAUGAGUAACGCAGCUAACGCGUGAAGUAGACCGCCUGGGGAGUACGGUCGCAAGAUUAAAACUCAAAUGAAUUGACGGGGGCCCGCACGAGCGGUGGAUUAUGUGGAUUAAUUCGAUGCAACGCGAAAAACCUUGCCUGGCCUUGACAUGUACCGAAUUUAGCAGAGAUGCUUUAGUGCUCGAAAGAGAACGGUAACACAGGUGCUGCAUGGCUGUCGUCAGCUCGUGUCGUGAGAUGUUGGGUUAAGUCCCGCAACGAGCGCAACCCUUGCCAUUAAUUGCCAUCAUUUAGUUGGGCACUUUAAUGGGACUGCCGGUGACAAACCGGAGGAAGGUGGGGAUGACGUCAAGUCCUCAUGGCCCUUAUGGCCAGGGCUUCACACGUAAUACAAUGGUCGGUACAGAGGGAAGCCAACCCGCGAGGGGGAGCCAAUCUCAGAAAGCCGGUCGUAGUCCGGAUUGUUGUCUGCAACUCGACAGCAUGAAGUCGGAAUCGCUAGUAAUCGCGGAUCAGCAUGUCGCGGUGAAUACGUUCCCGGGCCUUGUACACACCGCCCGUCACACCAUGGGAGUGGGUUUUACCAGAAGUAGUUAGUCUAUCCGCAAGGGGGACGAUUACCACGGUAGGAUUCAUGACUGGGGUG